rnacentral:rRNA from 1 species
UAGAGUUUGAUCAUGGCUCAGAUUGAACGCUGGCGGCAGGCCUAACACAUGCAAGUCGAACGGUAACGGGAAGAAGCUUGCUUCUUUGCCGACGAGUGGCGGACGGGUGAGUAAUGUCUGGGGAUCUGCCCGAUAGAGGGGGAUAACCACUGGAAACGGUGGCUAAUACCGCAUAAUGUCGCAAGACCAAAGUGGGGGACCUUCGGGCCUCACACUAUCGGAUGAACCCAGAUGGGAUUAGCUUGUUGGUGGGGUAAUGGCUCACCAAGGCGACGAUCCCUAGCUGGUCUGAGAGGAUGACCAGCCACACUGGAACUGAGACACGGUCCAGACUCCUACGGGAGGCAGCAGUGGGGAAUAUUGCACAAUGGGGGCAACCCUGAUGCAGCCAUGCCGCGUGUAUGAAGAAGGCCUUAGGGUUGUAAAGUACUUUCAGCGGGGAGGAAGGGGAAAAGGUUAAUAGCCUUUUUCAUUGACGUUACCCGCAGAAGAAGCACCGGCUAACUCCGUGCCAGCAGCCGCGGUAAUACGGAGGGUGCAAGCGUUAAUCGGAAUUACUGGGCGUAAAGCGCACGCAGGCGGUCUGUUAAGUCAGAUGUGAAAUCCCCGGGCUCAACCCGGGAACUGCAUUUGAAACUGGCAGGCUGGAGUCUUGUAGAGGGGGGUAGAAUUCCAGGUGUAGCGGUGAAAUGCGUAGAGAUCUGGAGGAAUACCGGUGGCGAAGGCGGCCCCCUGGACAAAGACUACGCU